CGGGGCGGGGCAGAGCCGGCUGGGAACAUCAUGGCUACUCUGGCCAACGGGCUAGCGCAGCAACAACCUCCCCCCGGGCCCCCGCCCCCGCCGCCGCCGCCUCCUCCUCCGCCUCCGCCGCCGCAGGCGGAGAGCGCUGCCUUCAGCACCACGAACAGCUCCGGGAGGAUGAACGGGCUGACGACGCCGACGCACGGCCCGGGGGGCACCAUCGCCAUGAAGGACCACGAUGCCAUCAAGCUGUUCAUCGGGCAGAUCCCGCGCAACCUGGAGGAGAGCGACCUCAAGCCGCUCUUCGAGGAGUUCGGCAAGAUCUACGAGCUCACCGUGCUCAAGGACCGCUUCACCGGCAUGCACAAAGGCUGUGCCUUCCUUACAUACUGUGCCCGGGAUUCAGCCCUCAAAGCCCAGAGUGCCCUGCAUGAGCAGAAGACAUUGCCUGGGAUGAACCGCCCAAUCCAAGUGAAGCCAGCAGACAGCGAGGGCCGAGGAGAAGACAGGAAGCUUUUUGUGGGCAUGCUGGGGAAGCAACAGAGUGAGGAUGACGUCCGGCGACUCUUUGAGCCCUUUGGCCAGAUCGAAGAAUGCACCAUCCUCAGAGGCCCCGAUGGAGCCAGUAAAGGAUGUGCCUUUGUCAAAUACGGGAGUCAUGCAGAGGCGCAAGCCGCUAUCAGUAGUCUCCACGGCAGUCAGACCAUGCCGGGAGCAUCGUCCAGCCUGGUGGUGAAGUUUGCUGACACAGACAAGGAGAGGACCCUUCGGCGGAUGCAUCAGAUGGCAGGACAGCUGGGGAUCUUCAAUCCAAUGACGAUCCAGUUUGGAGCCUACGGGGCAUAUACGCAAGCGAUAAUGCAGCAGCAGGCAGCUCUGAUGGCUGCAGCACAAGGAACUUGCCUCAACCCCAUGGCGGCCAUUGCGGCGGCACAGAUGCAACAGAUGGCAGCGUUUAACGUCAGCGGGUUGGUUGCUGCUCCCAUGACACCCUCAUCAGGUACAAGCACACCUCCGGGGAUCAGCACAGCACCUGUUCCCAGCAUAGCCACACCCAUCGGGGUGAAUGGAUUCAGCCCUCUCCCACCACAGACCAAUGGGCAGCCAGCAUCAGAAACUAUUUACACCAAUGGAAUCCAUCCAUACCCAGCUCAAAGUCCCACUGUGGCAGACCCCCUCCAACAAGCCUACGCAGGCAUGCAGCACUAUGCAGCAGCAUACCCAGCCGCCUAUGCACCAAUCAGCCAGGCCUUCCCCCAGCAAGCUCCCAUCAUCCCCCAGCAGCAGAGAGAAGGUCCCGAAGGCUGUAACCUCUUCAUUUAUCACCUGCCCCAGGAGUUUGGGGAUGCAGAACUUAUGCAGAUGUUCUUGCCUUUCGGCAACGUCAUCUCUGCCAAAGUCUUUGUUGACCGUGCCACCAACCAAAGUAAAUGCUUUGGUUUCGUCAGUUUUGACAAUCCAACUAGUGCUCAGGCAGCCAUUCAGGCCAUGAACGGCUUCCAGAUCGGCAUGAAGAGGCUAAAGGUCCAACUAAAGCGGCCAAAAGAUGCUAACAGACCCUACUGACCCGUGUUCACCUUGGCCCUGAAAGCAGACCAGGCCAAUCAUAGCUCCAAGGAUGACCCCACAGUUGCCUAGCAACCCUCUAGCUGUUAUGGGAGACCCAAACAAUAACUCUCCCUCCCAAAUUAUCUGAAACUAUGGGAUGCCAUGCGGCGUACGAAGAGUAUUCCCCUUGUCCCACGUGCAGUAUCCAGACUUGUAACUCUCUUUCUUUGCAACAUAUCACGGAGGAGGAGGAGGAGGAGGAGGCAGGAUGCUCGUGAAAAAGAGGAGAGCCAGUUUGG